GCGGAGACGCGAAACCGGUUCACCAGAUUACAAACCACCGCUCUUAACCACUACACCACACUGGCUCUCUCAAGGGUUCAUUUCUUCCUUCUAAUGAACAGGCUCCUAUAGGUGGAAAUCAAAUUUAAAUGCAUCCCAUGUAUGUGAUGAUCUGGUGUUUUAAUGUAAAGUUGUACUUUCAUGUAGUAAAGUAAUCAAGGUAGCUUAUCACAAUAGUUAGUAAUGUAUAAAUGGCUUUGUACAUCGUACCUCAGGUUACGAACAGCCUGGUUGAUGAACAUUUUGGAUUAUGACCAUUUCAAACCCGGAAAUGAGUUGGUUAAACUAGUAUUAUAGGAAUGGCA